rnacentral:rRNA from 1 species
UACAGAGGGUGCAAGCGUUGUCCGGAAUCACUGGGCGUAAAGGGCGCGUAGGCGGCCCGGUAAGUAGGGGGUGAAAUCUCACGGCUCAACUGUGGGGCUGCCUUCUAGACUGCCAGGCUCGAGCACAGUAGAGGCUGGUGGAAUUCCCGGUGUAGCGGUGGAAUGCGUAGAGAUCGGGAAGAACAUCUGUGGCGAAGGCGGCCAGCUGGGCUGUUGCUGACGCUGAUGCGCGACAGCGUGGGGAGCAAACAGG